AGUUCGGACNGUAGUCUGCAACCCGACUACACGAAGCCGGAAUCGCUAGUAAUCGCGAAUCAGAAUGUCGCGGUGAAUACGUUCCCGGGUCUUGUACACACCGCCCGUCACACCAUGGGAGUCGGAAAUGCCCGAAGUCAGUGACCCAACCGCAAGGAGGGAGCUGCCGAAGGCAGGUCCGGUAACUGGGGUGAAGUCGUAACAAGGUAAC
rnacentral:rRNA from 1 species